UUGUAUUUGAUAAACUUUUUAUUUAAAAGGUAUGGAUUUCAGCAAACAAAGAAAGCCAGAGAGGAAAAAAAAUAGAUACACGGUAAGGGUUUAAGAAUUUACAAUUUUGAAGUAUCGAUUAUACAGCGACUCGAAGAAUGUUGGAGGUUCACUCCAAAAACUCUAGGCUCCACUCAACUCCGCAGAAGAAAUCAGCAUGGAGUUGAGAUACUUGGCUAAAUUCUAAAUAGUUUGGACUGUGCAAUAUAACUAAUUUAUUAAUUUGUUAUGGAAAGGUUUGUGAACAUGCGCAGCAUCUUACAUCAAGCUGACCCUUGUGAUCAAGCAGCCAAACACUUUCUAGAACUGGAUAGGUGAUAACAUCCUAACAAAGAGUUAUUUGUACAUCACCCAAGAAAUAAGAGCGACAACCUGAUUAAUACCGUACUUUAUUUUCCCUCUUUGGGGGCCUCACUCUUUAGAAGAAAGCUAUUUCUGAACAUUUUCUAUAUCAACCCGGGAGAGCACUUUGAUGCGUUUGGGCAUGGCCACGAUAAUCUCCACCCCUGCCCUUUUUCUCUUCCCCGUGGGGGUGGUAACUGUUUUGACGCUAGCGUCCUUCUGAACCAGCACGGCCUCACUCUGAGCCUGGAGAACGUCCAGUUUCUGCCUGAGCUCCUGUAGGUGGUCAAUGUCGUUGAUCCCGCUCACAUUCUCCAUGAUGGAUUUGAGUUUGGCCACACACUCCCUCUGCAGUUCCUCCUUUUGCAGUUCCUCCCUCUCCCGCAGACCCUGUGAAGCCUGUGGGGCCACCCACUGUGUUUGUAUGCUAUGCAGUUGUAACUGUGGAGUUUGAGGAGUUUGCACCAGUGGCACUGUUUCUUCAGGCCCAUCCCACUGAAGAGAGACUGGGGAAGCUGGGGAGAGAUGCAUUAGGCCAUUGAGGGCUUCCUCCAUCUCCUCUGUUGUGGUGUGAGUGGUCUGUGAAUGCAGCGUGAGCAGAGGGUGGUCCCUGUAUUUGGGACACAGGUGCUCCCAGGUCCAGUUAGGCUCAGACCUGAAGACGUGACAGAAGUGUUCACAGGGCAGGCGCUGGUCCCUCCACACCUCACACUCACAGGAGGGCCAGGUGGACUCUGAACCGAAGCUGACCGCGUAGGACCGCGCUGCCGUGGUCUCUGCCCGACUCUUCACCCGGAAGGUGCCGGUGGCGGCGUCGCUGGCCUGCUCCACCACGAUGUCGGGGUCUUGCAGGGCCGCAGACAUGUUGUCCAUCACCAGGGCCACCACACUCCAAGGUCGAUGCCACAGGAACGGAGGCACAGUGGGGUUGAGGUUGUACUCGCCAGAGGACUGGCUGUUGAGGUCUGUGUACCUGGAGAUUCAGGGAGUGUAGCAGGUUUUGACUGACCAAACAUCAAAAC
ensembl:lncRNA